GACUUUGGAGAAGCUGCGCGCCGUUCGGCUGCGCGGUGCCGAAGGUGAAAGCGCAUGGCGUGAAUCUCUCAGGCAAAAGGACAAAGUU
rnacentral:ncRNA from 1 species